GAUGAACGCUGGCGGCGUGCCUAAUACAUGCAAGUCGAGCGAACAGACCAGGAUCUUGCUCCACUGACGUUAGCGGCGGACGAGUAAGUAACAAGUAGCUAACCUACCUCUUAGGCUUGACUACAUUCGAGAAACCCGAGUUCCUACCGGGUACUCUAUUUACCCGCAUGGUGCUAUAAUGUAUGGCCGGUUUGCUGUGGCUUAUAGAUGGAUCCGCUCCUCAUUGGCGAGUUGGUAAGGUAACGGCUUACCAAGGCAGCGAUGCGUAGCCGAGCUGAGAGGGUGAACGCCGACACUGAAAGUGAGACGCGGUACUGACUCCGACGGGAGGCAGCAGUAGGGAAUCGUGGGAAAUGGGCGAAAGACUGAAGGAGCAACGGAGCGUGGGUGAUGAAGGUCCUCGGAUCGUAAAACUCUGUUAGUAGGGAAGAACAAAUGUGUAAGUAACGAAGCACGGCGUGACGGUAGCGAAUAAGAAAGCAACGGCUAACUACGUG
rnacentral:rRNA from 1 species